CCGGACAGAACAAAAUCUGGUCAAACCCUCUAUUUAACACUUUAAUAAUUAUAAUUAAUCAAAAAUAUCCACGAGAUUAAACCUCCUAUAGGUGAAAUCUGACAGGUUGGAGUCUGAGACGUUAACAUAAUUACGGAUAUUUGAGCUGCACUCCGGAGCACAAGGUGGCGCCACUAACCGGAAGUAGAGGAAGAAGAAGAGCCGCUGCGUAAACAAGCCGGAGCGGAGCUUUAGCGUCAGUUUGAGGAUUAAAUGUGGAUUUAAAGGUUUAAAGAGAAGAUGGAGACUUUCAGCAGACGGACUCUGGACAGAAUCUAUUCCGCGGUGCUGCUAGGCGUGGUGCUCCUCUCCUGGUCAUACGUGAUCUACGGCAGCAGGAUCGCAGCUCGUUGGCUGCUGGAGGAAAGAACGUCCGUGCUGAGGCAGGACUGACGGUCCCAAGACAGAACCGGACCUAAAGGACAGAACCGGACCUAAAGGACAGAACCGGACCUGACGGGUAGAACCGGACCUGAAGGACAGAACUGGACCUAAAGGACAGAACCGGACCUGAAGGACAGAACCGGACCUGAAGGACAGAACCGGACCUGACGGGUAGAACCGGACCUGAAGGACAGAACUGGACCUAAAGGACAGAACCGGACCUAAAGGACAGAACCGGACCUGAAGGACAGAACCGGACCUGACGGGUAGAACCGGACCUGAAGGACAGAACUGGACCUAAAGGACAGAACCAGACCUGAAGGACAGAACCGGACCUGACGGGUAGAACCGGACCUGAAGGACAGAACUGGACCUGAAGGACAGAACUGGACCUAAAGGACAGAACCGGACCUAAAGGACAUAACUGGACCUGACGGGUAGAACUGGACCUGACGGGUAGAACCGGACCUGAAGGACAGAACUGGACCUAAAGGACAGAACCGGACCUGAAGGACAGAACCGGACCUGAAGGACAGAACCGGACCUAAAGUUUGCUUGCCUACCAGUGCAUUCAUGGACAUGCCCCGGACUACCUUUCAGAACUCCUAACCCUUCGCACCAUCUCCAGACAACUUCGAUCCACUAAUACCAACCUUCUGUGCACUCCAAGAUCCAACCUGAGAACAAUGGGUGAUAGAGCAUUCCAGACAGCUGCUCCUGAACUGUGGAACACAUUACCACCACCCCUGAGGGCCCCACAGUUCCUGGAGUCAUUUAAGAAAGGGCUGAAGACGUUCUUAUUUAAGCUCUAACAUAUUUACCAUUUCUAAAGUGUUUCUUUUAAAUGCAUUGUAGCACUUUGAGAUUUUAUAUGUAAAGUGCAUUAUAAAUUAAAGGUAUUAUUAUUAUUAUUAACCGGACCUAAAGGACAGAACCGGACCAGUGAAAGGGAACAGAUGGGUUGUUAAUGGACAGAAAAGACUGUUUGGACGACAAAACGAGACGAACACUGGAACGAUCCACGUUUAUUUAUUUUCUGAUUAUUUUCUUUGUGUUGGUUUUGAUAAAAGCUGAUUUUAGUGUUUCUAUUGCCUCUAACGGACGUUUAAAGACUCAAUUAAGACUCUCUGGAGCUGAAACCAGAUUUAUUUUCUACUGUAUUUAAUAAUUAGAUGUGAAAUUAAUCAGCAAUGUUGUUCUGGAGGAAGAACAGAGAAAAAAAUCAUGAGUUUUAUCAACAUUAAAUGCUUCUUAUUUUAUUUUUUCAAGCAGUUUACAAGGCAUACUAAAUACAUUUAAGUGAUUUUGUUUCGUCACUUUGUUUUGUUUUUUGUUGUUUUGUGUCUAAAUUUUUCAAUUUGUGAGACAUUUGGGUCAUUUCUGUCUAUUUUCUUGAUAGUUUUAAUAUUUUUUGUCAUUUUGUGUC
ensembl:lncRNA